rnacentral:rRNA from 1 species
AGAGUUUGAUCAUGGCUCAGAUUGAACGCUGGCGGAAUGCUUUACACAUGCAAGUCGAACGGCAGCACGGGUGCUUACACCUGGUGGCGAGUGGCGAACGGGUGAGUAAUGCACCGGAACGUACCCAGUAAUGGGGGAUAACUAUCCGAAAGGAUAGCUAAUACCGCAUACGCCCUGAGGGGGGAAGCGGGGGAUUCGUAAGAACCUCGCGUUAUUGGAGCGGCCGAUGCCGGAUUAGCUAGUUGGUGGGGUAAAGGCCCACCAAGGCGACGAUCCGUAGCUGGUCUGAGAGGACGACCAGCCACACUGGAACUGAGACACGGUCCAGACUCCUACGGGAGGCAGCAGUGGGGAAUUUUGGACAAUGGGCGAAAGCCUGAUCCAGCCAUUCCGCGUGAGUGAAGAAGGCCUUCGGGUUGUAAAGCUCUUUCGCAAGGAAAGAAAACUUAUCCAUUAAUACUGGGUGGGGUUGACGGUACCUUGAUAAGAAGCACCGGCUAACUACGUGCCAGCAGCCGCGGUAAUACGUAGGGUGCGAGCGUUAAUCGGAAUUACUGGGCGUAAAGCGUGCGCAGGCGGUUUGACAAGUCUGAUGUGAAAUCCCCGGGCUCAACCUGGGAACUGCGUUGGAAACUGUCCAGGCUAGAGUGUAGCAGAGGGGGGUAGAAUUCCACGUGUAGCAGUGAAAUGCGUAGAGAUGUGGAGGAAUACCGAUGGCGAAGGCAGCCCCCUGGGUUAACACUGACGCUCAUGCACGAAAGCGUGGGGAGCAAACAGGAUUAGAUACCCUGGUAGUCCACGCCCUAAACGAUGUCUACUAGUUGUUUGGGAGAGUAAAAUCUCUUAGUAACGCAGCUAACGCGUGAAGUAAACCGCCUGGGGAGUACGGUCGCAAGAUUAAAACUCAAAGGAAUUGACGGGGGGCCCGCACAAGCGGGUGGAUUAUGUGGAUUAAAUUCGAUGCAACGCGAAAAACCUUACCUGGCCUUGACAUGCCACUAACGAAGCAGAGAUGCAUUAGGUGCCCGAAAGGGAAAGUGGACACAGGUGCUGCAUGGCUGUCGUCAGCUCGUGUCGUGAGAUGUUGGGUUAAGUCCCGCAACGAGCGCAACCCUUGCCAUUAAUUGCCAUCAUUUAGUUGGGCACUUUAAUGGGACUGCCGGUGACAAACCGGAGGAAGGUGGGGAUGACGUCAAGUCCUCAUGGCCCUUAUGGCCAGGGCUUCACACGUAAUACAAUGGUCGGUACAGAGGGCAGCCAACCCGCGAGGGGGAGCCAAUCCCAGAAAGCCGAUCGUAGUCCGGAUUGCAGUCUGCAACUCGACUGCAUGAAGUCGGAAUCGCUAGUAAUCGCGGAUCAGCAUGUCGCGGUGAAUACGUUCCCGGGCCUUGUACACACCGCCCGUCACACCAUGGGAGUGGGUUCUACCAGAAGUAGUUAGCCUAACCGUAAGGAGGGCGAUUACCACGGUAGGAUUCAUGANCUGGGGUGAAGUCGUAACAAGGUAAC